rnacentral:rRNA from 1 species
UACGGAGGUUGCAAGCGUUGUUCGGAAUGACUGGGCGUAAAGGGAGCGCAGGCGGCUUGUUAAGUCUGGAGUGAAAGCCCGGGGCUCAACCCCGGCGGGUCUUCGGAUACUGGCAAGCUUGAGUACGGAAGAGGAGAGCGGAAUUCCAGGUGUAGCGGUGAAAUGCGUAGAUAUCUGGAGGAACACCGGUGGCGAAAGCGGCUCUCUGGUCCGAUACUGACGCUCAGGCUCGAAAGCGUGGGGAGCAAAC